GGACCAGUCAGCUGCUUUAACAAUAUUAAACAAGGAACGUACAUCUUAGAAGACUUUAGUGGACUUAUACCCUCUAGAGGAGUGUGACCCGAAUUUGAGAAGUAUCAGCCAUGACCACAGUGUGUUUGAUUUCUCUACCUAAGGUGGAGAAUGAAAAUAACAAAUAAUAUCAAUUGUCAGUUUGUGAAGUGAAAAUGUAGCCCAUAGAGAUAAUUAACACUGACCCUAACCAUACAGUUAACCAUAACCCUACUCUAACAUUAACUUUAACACUACUCUACAGUGGCGUACACACAAUCCAUGGGGCCCUGGUGCAAAACCGAUCCGUGGGCCCCCCCGACACAUACAUACAGACACACAUAUACACUACACACAUACAGAGACACACAUACACCCCCGACAGACAUACACAUACAGAUACAUACACACACAUAUACAUACAGAGACACACACAUACAAAAUGUUUCCUGUUUCCUACCUUUUGCAGGAGGGUGACUUUCCACUGGGUCCAGUGGGGUCUCAGUCUGAUGGGAGUCAGAGUUCCCACUUUGAC